UUGAAUCACCCCCAAAUUUGAAUCUCUCUCUCUCGCUUCUCACCGAUCCCCUCUCUCUCUCUCCCUCGCUUCUCACCCUUUCUGUUCCUCCAAAUUGACAAAAAAAACUCUAAACUAGAAUUGGACUACUUAGCUAUCGAUUCUCCGGAGUUCUCUUCCUCGACACUGACAACCCUUCCUACUGCGACACCACCGCUGCUGCUAUUGUUUCGGCUGGUAACCGCUGCCGUCCCCGCCGACGCUCGGGUUUGGAAAUGUCGUCGAAAAGGUCUGGGAAGUGUCGUUGUGCGUCGGAUGCCUCGCUGCCACCGCUGGUCUGCCUCCGCCACCGCCGCUGGUCUGCCGGAGGGCAGAAAAUCCGGCUUGAGGUGGAGAACUAGUUCCUACGGCACAAGCUUCAUUCUGAUUCAGUGGUGGGGCUGAGGUACCGUGGCAAUAGCCUCGGGUUGUCCUCUGUUUCCAACUUACGCACUGGAUGUAUACUCUCUGUUAACCGUAUGAUUGAGAACCUCUCGGAUUGGGACAUAGACACCUCUGAUUCUGAGGGUGGGGGCUAUGGUGGUCGCGACUCCCCUAAGGCAUCACCGCGGGAUGAUAAAGUGGCCAAUGGUGGUGCAAGACACAUUUAUUUUGCCAAUGCACCUCGGAAUUAUAAUGAUAGAGUCGUUGUAGGGCACCGUGAUUCUGCUAGGAUGUCUUCUGAAUCUGUCACUAACUGAACUCCACCCCGGACACCACUAGUGGCAACAGCGUUUCAGUGGAGAAACGGAACAAUGAAGGGGCUAAUCCAUCUAGCACCAGAGUGCAGCCAAAUAUGCAAACCAUGAGAUAGGUUCAUAGUAUCUUGUUUGGUGUUUCGAGUUUAUUUGGAAAGAUAUUUAAGUGAUCAAUUCUCAGCUUUGGCGGAUAUUGCCAAGAUGGUGGGUAUGAGACCUUUGGAGAAGUUUCUAGAAAAGCUGGAUACGUUUUUUAAGAAUUCAGCUGUAGCUUCUUAUCCGUUGAGCGGUCAAUAUCCAACAUUUCAUUCAAGUGGUCUAGGCAACUGGUAUGCUGUUUUAUCUUAUGAUGCAUCUGUCCGCCUAUGCCUCCACUCGUGGGCAAGGAGCUGUAUGAGAGCUCCUCCCUUUUUGGAAAAUGAAUGUUCACUGCUGAGGGAUGUAUUAGGUUAAGAAAUAUAUUAUUAAAAUCAGAGGAAAAGCUGACGAGGAAAGAUCACUUUGAACUUGUGGGUGAAGGAGCUUACGUAAAGUCUAAGAAAACCAUCGGGAAGAUUAGAGUUCAAGUUCGUAAUGUGAAAAUGGGGACGAAGCAACCCACUGGUUUCACGUUUACAUCUUUAAAGUCUUCAUCCACGGUGAAGCUGGAAACAUUUCAGCAAAGGUUAUCAAAUGUGAAAUUGAUUGUUUCAUCCAAUAGAAAAAAAAGAAAAAAAGAAAAAAAGGAAAAAAAGGAAAAAAUGAAAAGAAAAAAAGCUGAUAUUGUAAGAGGCUCUCUGUAUUGCAUAGAAGCGUUGCACACUUAAUUGUUGGGACUCGUAGAUACUUGAGAGAAGUACCCAAGCUCAUAAAGUGCAUCAACUUAUGAAUUGGUGCAAGAACCAUAUUUUUGUUUGUUGAGAUUGAAAAGUUCACCCGAAGAGGAUGCAUUGGGAAUGUAACCGGUAUCUGCUUGCCAGAUGGAUUUGGAGAUGAUCUGAUAAUCGAAGUCCAUGAUUCGAAGGGAAAGUAUUGCGGGCAUGCUCUUGUUCAGGUGGCUGACAUUUCUGAUGAAUCGGUACUUGAUCUUGAGAUGCAUACACAAAGCUCAGAUACCUUUCAUACGUUAUGGAUAUCUCCACAGCAACAGUAGAUUAUCUUGAUUUGGUGUACGACAUUCUGCUGCCAGUGGUAAUCAAAGACAAAAGUAAGCACACAUUGAGUCACUAAGAGGCCCGUUUUCCGGGAGAAGUUUCUGUUCAAAUUGAGCAGAUACUCACUCUAAUCUUCGAGAAUUUCAAGUAACUUGAUGAAUCAUCGAUGUCGGGUAUUAAAGAUGUAUUCGGACCUGCAACAGGAUUGGCUGCACCUGCACUUGAUCCAGCUUUGAAGCUCUACAAAUGGUUGCAUGAUAUUCUUUCCCCGAGAUUGCUACGAGAAAAAGGUCAAUCAUGCACUUGUUUGAAAUUGAUGAGUUCUUUUCGACUAAUAACGAAAACAUGUUAUUGGAUACCGUGGCUGUCUCCACAGCAUAUAUGAAAGGAAAAACUAAUGCAUGGGUCUCAAGAUGUGAAGGUAGCAGUGAAAAACAAAGUUCCUCUUGUAAGGUCGUUGACUUGAGCUGUGUUACAUUCUGUAUUGAAACAAGUAACACAGCGACCAUACCUAAGAUUCACGAGGAAUAUGUUCCCUCAUUUAUUUUGGAGUGGUCUAGGCAACUGGUAUGCUGUUUUAUCUUAUGAUGCAUCUGUGCGUCUAUGCCUCCACCCAUGGGCAAGGAGCUGUAUGGGAGCUCCUCCCUUUUUGGAAAAUGAAUGUUCACUGCUUAGGGAUGUAUUAGGAAAUAUAUUAUUAAAAUCAGAGGAAGAGCUGCCGAGGAACGAUCAUUCUGAACUUGUGGGUGAAGGCAUUUACGUAACGUCUAAGAAAACCAUCGGGAAGGUUAAAGUUCAAGUUCGUAAAGUGAAAAUGGGGACGGAGCAACCCACUGGUUGCAUGUUUACAUCUUUAAAGUCUUCAUCCACGGUGAAGCUGGAAACAUUUCAGCAAAGGUUAUCAAAUGUGAAAUUGGUUGUUUCAUCCAACAGAAAAAAGGAAAAAAGGAAAAAAAGGAAAAAAAGGAAAAAAAGAAAAGAAAAAAAGCUGAUAUUGUAAGAGGCUCUCCGUAUUGCAUAGAAGCGUUGCACACUUAAUUGUUGGGACUCGUAGAUACUUGAGAGAAGUACCCAAGCUCAUAAAGUGCAUCAACUUAUGAAUUGGUGCAAGAACCAUAUUCUUGUUUGUUGAGAUUGAAAAGUUCACCCGAAGAGGAUGCAUUGGGAAUGUAACCGGUAUCUGCUUGCCAGAUGGAUUUGGAGAUGAUCUGAUAAUCGAAGUCCAUGAUUCGAAGGGAAAGUAUUGCGGGCAUGCUCUUGUUCAGGUGGCUGACAUUUCUGAUGAAUCGGUACUUGAUCUUGAGAUGCAUACACAAAGCUCAGAUACCUUUCAUACGUUAUGGAUAUCUCCACAGCAACAGUAGACUAUCUUGAUUUGGUGCACGACAUUCUGCUGCCAGUGGUAAUCAAAGACAAAAGUAAGCACACAUUGAGUCACUAAGAGGCCCGUUUUCUGGGAGAAGUUUCUGUUCAAAUUGAGCAGAUACUCACUCUAAUCUUCGAGAAUUUCAAGUAACUUGAUGAAUCAUCGAUGUCGGGUAUUAAAGAUGUAUUCGGACCUGCAACAGGAUUGGCUGCACCUGCACUUGAUCCCGCUUUGAAGCUCUACAAAUGGUUGCAUGAUAUUCUUUCCCCGAGAUUGCUACGAGAAAAAGGUCAAUCAGGCAAUUGUUUGAAAUUGAUGAGUUCUUUUCGACUAAUAACAAAAACAUGUUAUUGAAUCCCGUGGCUGUCUCCACAGCAUAUAUGAAAGGAAAAACUAUUGCAUGGGUCUCAAGAUGUGAAGGUAGCAGUGAAAAACAAAGUUCCUCUUGUAAGGUCGUUGACUUGAGCUGUGUUACAUUCUGUAUUGAAACAAGUAACACAGCGACCAUACCUAAGAUUCACGAGGAAUAUGUUCCCUCAUUUAUUUUGGAGUGGUCUAGGCAACUGGUAUGCUGUUUUAUCUUAUGAUGCAUCUGUGCGUCUAUGCCUCCACUCAUGGGCAAGGAGCUGUAUGGGAGCUCCUCCCUUUUUGGAAAAUGAAUGUUCACUGCUGAGGGAUGUAUUAGGGUUAAGAAAUAUAUUAUUAAAAUCAGAGGAAGAGCUGGAAACAUCUUUAAAGUCUUCAUCCACUGUUAAGCUGGAAACAUUUCAGUAAAGGUUUUCAAAUGUGAAAUUGAUUGUUUCAUCCAAUAGAAAAAAAAGAAAAAAAGAAAAAAAGGAAAAAAAAGGAAAAAAAGAAAAGAAAAAAAGCUGAUAUUGUAAGAGGCUCUCUGUAUUGCAUAGAAGCGUUGCACACUUAAUUGUUGGGACUCGUAGAUACUUGAGAGAAGUACCCAAGCUCAUAAAGUGCAUCAACUUAUGAAUUGGUGCAAGAACCAUAUUCUUGUUUGUUGAGAUUGAAAAGUUCACCCGAAGAGGAUGCAUUGGGAAUAUAACCGGUAUCUGCUUGCCAGAUGGAUUUGGAGAUGAUCUGAUAAUCGAAGUCCAUGAUUCGAAGGGAAAGUAUUGCGGGCAUGCUCUUGUUCAGGUGGCUGACAUUUCUGAUGAAUCGGUACUUGAUCUUGAGAUGCAUACACAAAGCUCAGAUACCUUUCAUACGUUAUGGAUAUCUCCACAGCAACAGUAGACUAUCUUGAUUUGGUGCACGACAUUCUGCUGCCAGAGGUAAUCAAAGACAAAAGUAAGCACACAUUGAGUCACUAAGAGGCCCGUUUUCUGGGAGAAGUUUCUGUUCAAAUUGAGCAGAUACUCACUCUAAUCUUCGAGAAUUUCAAGUAACUUGAUGAAUCAUCGAUGUCGGGUAUUAAAGAUGUAUUCGGACCUGCAACAGGAUUGGCUGCACCUGCACUUGAUCCCGCUUUGAAGCUCUACAAAUGGUUGCAUGAUAUUCUUUCCCCGAGAUUGCUACGAGAAAAAGGUCAAUCAGGCAAUUGUUUGAAAUUGAUGAGUUCUUUUCGACUAAUAACAAAAACAUGUUAUUGGAUCCCGUGGCUGUCUCCACAGCAUAUAUGAAAGGAAAAACUAUUGCAUGGGUCUCAAGAUGUGAAGGUAGCAGUGAAAAACAAAGUUCCUCUUGUAAGGUCGUUGACUUGAGCUGUGUUACAUUCUGUAUUGAAACAAGUAACACAGCGACCAUACCUAAGAUUCACGAGGAAUAUGUUCCCUCAUUUAUUUUGGAGUGGUCUAGGCAACUGGUAUGCUGUUUUAUCUUAUGAUGCAUCUGUGCGUCUAUGCCUCCACUCAUGGGCAAGGAGCUGUAUGGGAGCUCCUCCCUUUUUGGAAAAUGAAUGUUCACUGCUGAGGGAUGUAUUAGGGUUAAGAAAUAUAUUAUUAAAAUCAGAGGAAGAGCUGGAAACAUCUUUAAAGUCUUCAUCCACUGUUAAGCUGGAAACAUUUCAGUAAAGGUUUUCAAAUGUGAAAUUGAUUGUUUCAUCCAAUAGAAAAAAAAGAAAAAAAGAAAAAAAGGAGAAAAAGGAAAAAAAGAAAAGAAAAAAAGCUGAUAUUGUAAGAGGCUCUCUGUAUUGCAUAGAAGCGUUGCACACUUAAUUGUUGGGACUCGUAGAUACUUGAGAGAAGUACCCAAGCUCAUAAAGUGCAUCAACUUAUGAAUUGGUGCAAGUUUUUGAUUGCAGAACCAUAUUUUUGUUUGUUGAGAUUGAAAAGUUCACCCGAAGAGGAUGCAUUGGGAAUGUAACCGGUAUCUGCUUGCCAGAUGGAUUUGGAGAUGAUCUGAUAAUCGAAGUCCAUGAUUCGAAGGGAAAGUAUUGCGGGCAUGCUCUUGUUCAGGUGGCUGACAUUUCUGAUGAAUCAGUACUUGAUCUUGAGAUGCAUACACAAAGCUCAGAUACCUUUCAUACGUUAUGGAUAUCUCCACAGCAACAGUAGACUAUCUUGAUUUGGUGCACGACAUUCUGCUGCCAGUGGUAAUCAAAGACAAAAGUAAGCACACAUUGAGUCACUAAGAGGCCCGUUUUCUGGGAGAAGUUUCUGUUCAAAUUGAGCAGAUACUCACUCUAAUCUUCGAGAAUUUCAAGUAACUUGAUGAAUCAUCGAUGUCGGAUAUUAAAGAUGUAUUCGGACCUGCAACAGGAUUGGCUGCACCUGCACUUGAUCCCGCUUUGAAGCUCUACAAAUGGUUGCAUGAUAUUCUUUCCCCGAGAUUGCUACGAGAAAAAGGUCAAUCAGGCACUUGUUUGAAAUUGAUGAGUUCUUUUCGACUAAUAACGAAAACAUGUUAUUGGAUCCCGUGGCUGUCUCCACAGCAUAUAUGAAAGGAAAAACUAUUGCAUGGGUCUCAAGAUGUGAAGGUAGCAGUGAAAAACAAAGUUCCUCUUGUAAGGUCGUUGACUUGAGCUGUGUUACAUUCUGUAUUGAAACAAGUAACACAGCGACCAUACCUAAGAUUCACGAGGAAUAUGUUCCCUCAUUUAUUUUGGAGUGGUCUAGGCAACUGGUAUGCUGUUUUAUCUUAUGAUGCAUCUGUGCUUCUAAGCCUCCACUCAUGGGCAAGGAGCUGUAUGGGAGCUCCUCCCUUUUUGGAAAAUGAAUGUUCACUGCUGAGGGAUGUAUUAGGGUUAAGAAAUAUAUUAUUAAAAUUAGAGGAAGAGCUGACGAGGAAAUAUCAUUCUGAACUUGUGGGUGAAGGCGCUUACGUAACGUCUAAGAAAAACAUCGGGAAGGUUAAAGUUCAAGUUCGUAACGUGAAAAUGGGGACGGAGCAACCCACUGGUUGCAUGUUUACAUCUUUAAAGUCUUCAUCCACGUUGAAGCUGGAAACAUUUCAGCAAAGGUUAUCAAAUGUGAAAUUGGUUGUUUCAUCCAACAGAAAAAAAGGAAAAAAAGAAAAAAAGGAAAAAAAAGGAAAAAAAACGAAAGAAAAAUAGCUGACAUUGUAAGAGGCUCUCUAUAUUCCAUAGAAGCGUUGCACACUUAAUUGUUGGGACUUGUAGAUACUUGAGAGAAGUACCCAAGCUCAUAAAGUGCAUCAACUUAUGAAUUGGUGCAAGAAUCAUAUUCUUGUUUGUUGAGAUUGAAAAGUUCGCCCGAAGAGGAUGCAUUGGGAAUGUAACCGGUAUCUGCUUGCCAGAUGGAUUUGGAGAUGAUCUGAUAAUUGAAGUCCAUGAUUCGAAGGGAAAGUAUUGCGGGCAUGCUCUUGUUCAGGGGAAUAAGCAUUGUCAGUGUGUUAUAUCUCGGGAACCAGAGCAAGAAAAAGCUGGGAAAAAUACAGCUAAACAUCAACUAUUCAACCACUGCAGAUGAAAGUAGUUGCAAGUGCAUAUACAUCUGUAGCAGAAACUAUAUCUUACGACUAUGUUUUGGAGACUGCAAUGAGAGGCCACAGUUUCAACAAAGAAACUUGUUGCUACAUGGUUCGUGGAAAUGGUUGGUGGAUGAAUUUGCAUCUCUUUUGGCGUUUUAGAUGCAUACACAAAGCUCAGGUCCAUUUUUUGGGAGAAGUUUAUGUUCAAAUUGAGCAGAUACACACUUUGGUCUUUGAGAAUUACCAGGCACUUGAUGAAUCAUCCACCAAAUGAAUAUUAAAGAUGUAUUCGGCACUGCAACAGGAUUGGCUGCACCUGCACUUGAUCCCUUGGCUGUCUCCACAGCAUAUAUGAAAGGAAAAACUAAUGCAUGGGUCUCAAGAUGUGAAGGUAGCAGUGAAAAACAAAGUUCCUCUUGUAAGGUCAUUGACUUGAGCUGUGUUACAUUCUGUAUUGAAACAAGUAACACAGCGACCAUACCUAAGGUUCACGGGGAAUAUAUUCCCUCAUUUAUUUUGGAGUGGUCUAGGCAACUGGUAUGCUGUUUUAUCUUAUGAUGCAUCUGUGCGUCUAUGCCUCCACUCAUGGGCAAGGAGCUGUAUGGGAGCUCUUCCCUUUUUUGAAAAUGAAUGUUCACUGCUGAGGGAUGUAUUAGGGUUAAGAAAUAUAUUAUUAAAAUCAGAGGAAGAGCUGGAAACAUCUUUAAAGUCUUCAUCCACGGUUAAGCUGGAAACAUUUCAGUAAAGGUUUUCAAAUGUGAAAUUGGUUGUUUCAUCCAAUAGAAAAAAAAGAAAAAAAGGAAAUAAAAAGAAAAAAAAGAAAAAAAAAAGAAAAGAAAAAAUGCUGACAUUGUAAGAUGCUCUCUAUAUUGCAUAGAAGCGUUGCACACUUAAUUGUUGGGACUCGUAGAUACUUGAGAGAAGUACCCAAGCUCAUAAAGUGCAUCAACUUAUGAGUUGGUGCAAGAAUCAUAUUCAUGUUUGUUGAGAUUGAAAAGUUCACCCGAAGAGGAUGCAUUGGGAAUGUAACCGGUAUCUGCUUGCCAGAUGGAUUUGGAGAUGAUCUGAUAAUCGAAGUCCAUGAUUCGAAGGGAAAGUAUUGCGGGCAUGCUCGUGUUCAGGUGGCUGACAUUUCUGAUGAAUCGGGGAAUAAGCAUUGUCAGUGUGUUAUAUCUCGGGAACCAGAGCAAGAAAAAGCUGGGAAAAAUACAGCUAUACAUCAACUAUUCAACCACUGCAGAUGAAAGUAGUUGCAAGUACAUAUACAUGUGUAGCAGAAACUAUAGCUUACGACUAUGUUUUGGAGACUGCGUUGAGAGGCCAACAGUUUCAGCAAAGAAACUUGUUGUUGCUACAUGGUUCGUGGAAAUGGUUGGUGGAUGAAUUUGCAUCUCUUUUGGCGGUUUAGAUGCAUACACAAAGCUCAGGUCCGGUUUUUGGGAGAAGUUUAUGUUCAAAUUGAGCAGAUACACACUUUGGUCUUUGAGAAUUACCACGCACUUGAUGAAUCAUCCAGUUGAUGAAUAUUAAAGAUGUCUUCGGACCUGUUACAGGAUUGGCUGCACCUGCACUUGAUCAAGCUUUGAAGCUCUACAAAUGGUUGCAUGAUAUUCUUUCACCCGAGCUUUAAGAAGGUUGAUAAAGUAACUGAUUCUACAUCAACUGCGGUGAGUGGUGGCAUCACUGGCAUGGAUGGUCUUCCACGUUAAGAUAUCAGUGAAAAGACUACCCCUCCUGUUAAAAGGCUUAGAGGGUUCUGAUUUGAAGGUCCGCUUGGAAUCUAUUGAAAGUGUGACCAAAAUUCUGGAAGAGGCGAACAAACCUAUUCUGCCUGCUGGAACUGGAGAUCUAUUUGGAGCUCUAAAAGGGCGUCGACACGACAGUAACAACAUUUUUUUUAUUAUUGCUACUUUGUCCACAAUCGGUGCUCUUACGACUACAAUGGACUGCCAGUUGAGAAGUCAGGCAAGGUACUCUCGUAUAGUAGUAGUUAUACUAUUAUUAAGAGUCUCUUGCGUUAACUAUCUGUGAGUUACAAUCCAAAUAUUAUAAAUACUUGGGAUCCUUUAGAUAAUCUUGAAAACGUCAAAGACAAUAUUUGUACCUUUAAAUCCCAAUAUUCAAACUCUUCUGUCAUGUACAUAGCUCCUGUGAGGCUUGAUCAUUUACAUGAAUGUGGCUCAUGCAGGGCAUUCUUUCAGAUGCCUUGAAAUGCCUUGGCGACACAAAAAGCAUAUGCUUGAGUGUACAAUGAGAGUACCAAUGCUUGGUGCUGCUCAUCUCGAUAAAAUGGCCUGUAGUCAUUUUAGAAAAUAGUGUUUUUCGACCUCCUGCUUUGAGUAUUGUUAACCUCACGCUUGCUGAUGUCUUUAGCGUUUAGCUACCGUAUAUUAUUCUCUCAAACGCUGAAAUAGGCAUAGAAGGGUGUAGGGAUCUUUUUAAAUGGCUAUCAAGAAGACAACUUGCUGGAUUGGUGAGUUCCCUUGAUGAAAUAAAGCUGCUCAAACCCACUGCAUCUGCUAUCACGGUUUUUCAUUAUGCAAGGUUGUUAUUCUGUAGGUAGCUGUGUAUCAACUUAUGUCUUAGGAUAUUUCUUGGUUGCCUUUCCAGGAUAAAUUAGCAGGUGGUUGUAAAGCGGCUGAAGCAUGCUUUAAUGAAAUAUUGAGAGGGUUUAUGGACAAGAAACGGUAUGAACAUCCAAAUUUUUGGUUACUUGAUUGAUGUUGGCCAACUCUUUUAGCUGCUAGGUGGCGCUAGACCUAUCUUAUAUCUCUUCCCUUAUAUGUACCCAAAAAUUUGAGAUAUAUACAACAUUUUGCUUUAGCUGUUAUUAGCAAACGACUGAAGCCAUAUGGAGCUCUUCAAGGUAUUAUGCUACUUACAUUUAACUCAUUCAUCUCCUAGUAAAAAAAUAUAUUUAUGUUUUUCCACUUUUCCAUGUCAUUAUAUUGAUUUUUUUCGUGCCACAUCCAUUGCAGAUAAUUAUGAAUCUGGUAGAUCUGUUUCGUCAAGGUUAUCAGGUCAUAGCAAUUGCCACAACUGAAGGAUUCAAGAAUGAAGCUAAAAACAUGCUAGUUGCAUCUGGUGAAAUUGAACAUACAUAUGUUCCAACUCAACAUCUCAUACGUCUAGUGUAGAGGCGAGGAGUACUGCAACUGAUUUAGUUCUACUUUCCCUGCUUUUGAAUCUAUGUUCUUUUACAUCUACCGUCUUUGAUUGAAUCUAUGUUCUUUUACAUCUACCAUCUUUGGAUAGACAACGACGUGAAGAGGAGUUGAAAGGUAGGUCUUCCAAAAAGGGUUCUCUGCAAUCUAUGUUGAAUCGACUAAACAUGUUUUUGGAACUUAUGUUUCUUUAUUUAGGAAUGGAAGUUGUCUUCUUAUUUAAUGAAUGUCCAUGGCCAUAAAAUUGCUUGCUAUACCCAUGUGAUGAAAAAUGGUUGAUGUUAUUUCCUCUAAUUGCUUGGCGGGGGUACACAUCUUUUCGUAAGGAUGAAACUGAAUCCUCUGGCAUAUGGCAUUCGAUGGGAUGAGGUAUUGGAUAUGGGCCUCCUUACCCUUGGACAAUGGGAAUUCUUGGUUUCUUGCUGAGAUUUAUGCAAUGCCGAACUUGAAGAUGAUCCUCAAAUUUGAGAUUGAGGUAAUUCUAUAUUAUUUGGUUGCUUCAGUUUUCUAUUUUUAUUCAAUGGUACUAUUGGAGGUUGAUUUUGUAAUCACGAUAAUAGUAUGCUACACCUAGCCCUCAUUCAUACGGAACUUUGACCGGGGAUGACAAGUGAGUUAGCUUAGGAUAUUCUGCUUCCUUAUGCUCAAGGCCUUUUACAAGGACAAUCAGAAUAUGCAGUUAGUCAAGUCUCUCCACAUCCAUCACACUUGUAUUAAAUACUUACUGACGAUCUAUUACUUUUGCAACAAACUUUUGUAUUGUCACAGGUACAACAACUAAUAUUAAAAACCAAAUGGUUGUCAAUAAGAGGCUUUAUACUAUGGCUUCAUUCCGGUAUCCAUGGAUAGACAACUGAAGAACUUUUCUUGUAGAUAUAUUCCUUUCCAAUGUGAAUUUUUGACUAAAGAAGUUAUGCUUUUUUAAAUUACAGAUUAUGCAAUGGAGCCUAGAUAAACAACUAAAGAAAUUGUCUUGAAGGUAUAUUUCUUUCCAAUGUAAAUUGAUUACUAAAGAAGUCAUGCGUUUUUACAUGGCAGGACUAUAAUAGUAUGCAGUGUUUGUAGUGUGUGCAGUACUUGCAUGUGUAUUUUAUGUAUGUGUGCAUGUCAUUUUUUUUUGUGUAUGUGGAGCGCGUGUAUAUUAAUUUUAUAAAUAAUAUCUGUAUAAUGUCGUAUAGUGUGUUGUGGAAAUAGUGAGU